GAUGAACGCUGGCGGCGUGCCUAAUACAUGCAAGUCGAGCGAACGGACGAGAAGCUUGCUUUUCUGAUGUUAGCGGCGGACGGGUGAGUAACACGUGGAUAACCUACCUAUAAGACUGGAUAACUUCGGGAAACCGGAGCUAAUACCGGAUAAUAUUUUGAACCGCAUGGUUCAAAAGUGAAAGACGGUCUUGCUGUCACUUAUAGAUGGAUCCGCGCUGCAUUAGCUAGUUGGUAAGGUAACGGCUUACCAAGGCAACGAUGCAUAGCCGACCUGAGAGGGUGAUCGGCCACACUGGAACUGAGACACGGUCCAGACUCCUACGGGAGGCAGCAGUAGGGAAUCUUCCGCAAUGGGCGAAAGCCUGACGGAGCAACGCCGCGUGAGUGAUGAAGGUCUUCGGAUCGUAAAACUCUGUUAUUAGGGAAGAACAUAUGUGUAAGUAACUGUGCACAUCUUGACGGUACCUAAUCAGAAAGCCACGGCUAACUACGUG
rnacentral:rRNA from 1 species